rnacentral:lncRNA from 1 species
AUGGUUCAGACAGACAGGAUGGAGACAUACAGACAGGCGUGGUUCAGACAGACAGACGUGGUUCAGACAGACAGGAUGGAGACAGACAGGCAGAUGCGUCCUGUCUCCAGGCUGGGCGUGGUUCAGACAGACAGGAUGGAGACAGACAGGCAGAUGCGUCCUGUCUCCAGGCUGGGCGUGGUUCAGACAGACAGGAUGGAGACAGACAGACAGAUGCGUCCCGUCUCCAGGCUGGGCGUGGUUCAGACAGACAGGAUGGAGACAGACAGACAGAUGCGUCCCGUCUCCAGGCUGGGCGUGGUUCAGACAGACAGGAUGGAGACAGACAGACAGAUGCGUCCCGUCUCCAGGCUGGGCGUGGUUCAGACAGACAGGAUGGAGACAGACAGACAGAUGCGUCCCGUCUCCAGGCUGGGCGUGGUUCAGACAGACAGGCGUGGUUCAGACAGACAGAUGCGUCCCGUCUCCAGGCUGGGCGUGGUUCAGACAGACAGGAUGGAGACAGACAGACAGAUGCGUCCCGUCUCCAGGCUGGGCGUGGUUCAGACAGACAGAUGCGUCCCGUCUCCAGGCUGGGCGUGGUUCAGACAGACAGGAUGGAGACAGACAGACAGAUGCGUCCCGUCUCCAGGCUGGGCGUGGUUCAGACAGACAGGAUGGAGACAGACAGACAGAUGCGUCCCGUCUCCAGGCUGGGCGUGGUUCAGACAGACAGGCGUGGUUCAGACAGACAGAUGCGUCCCGUCUCCAGGCUGGGCGUGGUUCAGACAGACAGGAUGGAGACAGACAGACAGAUGCGUCCCGUCUCCAGGCUGGGCGUGGUUCAGACAGACAGAUGCGUCCCGUCUCCAGGCUGGGCGUGGUUCAGACAGACAGGAUGGAGACAGACAGACAGAUGCGUCCCGUCUCCAGGCUGGGCGUGGUUCAGACAGACAGGAUGGAGACAGACAGACAGAUGCGUCCCGUCUCCAGGCUGGGCGUGGUUCAGACAGACAGGAUGGAGACAGACAGACAGAUGCGUCCCGUCUCCAGGCUGGGCGUGGUUCAGACAGACAGGCGUGGUUCAGACAGACAGAUGCGUCCCGUCUCCAGGCUGGGCGUGGAGGUGUGGGACUUUGGGCGGAGCUGGCGGAGCGGCCUGGCCUUCCUGGCCCUGAUCCAGUCCAUCGCCCCGGGCCUGGUGGACCUGGGGCGCCGCCCCCCUACGGACCCCCACAGGACCCUGGAGGAGGCCUUCAGGAUCGCCCGGGACCGCCUGGGCGUCCCCGCCCUGCUGGAGCCCACGGAUGUGGCGUGCUCUUCACCGGACCAGCGCUCCAUCGUGACCUACCUGUCCAUGUUCUUGGAGUUCCAGAGUGA